rnacentral:rRNA from 1 species
UACGUAGGGGGCAAGCGUUGUCCGGAAUCAUUGGGCGUAAAGAGCGUGUAGGCGGCCCGAUAAGUCCGCUGUGAAAGUCCAGGGCUCAACCCUGGGAUGCCGGUGGAUACUGUCGGGCUCGAGUCCGGAAGAGGAGUGUGGGAAUUCCUGGUGUAGCGGUGAAAUGACGCAGAUAUCAGGAGGAACACCAAUGGCGAAGGCAGCACUCUGGGACGUGACUGACGCUGAGACGCGAAAGCGUGGGGAGCAAACAGG